AUUGAACGCUGGCGGCAUGCCUUACACAUGCAAGUCGAACGGCAGCGGGGGAGAAGCUUGCUUUCCCUGCCGGCGAGUGGCGAACGGGUGAGUAAUACAUCGGAACGUGCCCUGUAGUGGGGGAUAACUAGUCGAAAGAUUAGCUAAUACCGCAUACGACCUGAGGGUGAAAGUGGGGGACCGCAAGGCCUCAUGCUAUAGGAGCGGCCGAUGUCUGAUUAGCUAGUGGGUGGGGUAAAGGCCUACCAAGGCGACGAUCAGUAGCUGGUCUGAGAGGACGAUCAGCCACACUGGGACUGAGACACGGCCCAGACGCCUACGGGAGGCAGCAGUGGGGAAUUUGGACAAUGGGCGAAAGCCUGAUCCAGCAAUGCCGCGUGUGUGAAGAAGGCCUUCGGGUUGUAAAGCACUUUUGUCCGGAAAGAAAUGGCUCUGGUUAAUACCUGGGGUCGAUGACGGUACCGGAAGAAUAAGGACCGGCUAACUACGUGCCAGCAGCCGCAGUAA
rnacentral:rRNA from 1 species